rnacentral:lncRNA from 1 species
GUCGACGGUAUGGGUAUCUUUCAAGUUGGAUAAAAAAAAUGCAUAACCUCCGAUUUUUAAAACAAAAUUACCACGGACGGAAACCAUAUAUCAAUCUAUCAGUUCAGUAAUUUUCGUGUCUGUCCUUUCAUUAUGUGACUCAAGAAAAAUUCCAAAAAAUGAGUAACAAUAGUAUCGAAAGGAGAAAAUCGAGUGCACCUUUUUAUGUUAGGGCGUGUUUGAGUUGAAUAUUUUGUCUUGAUAUCGUACAAAGCAAGAAUAUUUCAUACAUCGUCUCGCUUCAGAUUCUAUUAUUUUUAUGUAUCAAAGCUACAGGUUGACUUUAUAACAUAAAAAAAUCACAGUACUAAAAGAUGCAAUAUAUGGGUCAAGUGAAAUACCUAUCUAAUGAAUCGCCAAAACAGAGAAGUUGGGUUCGAAUAACUAUUAACUGAAAGUACUUGACGAAAAAUUAUAAUUUUUUUGUGUGUGAUAACUAGGGUUUAUAGUCUUCAACCACUAAACAAAUCUAGUCUGCCCUUCCACGAAAUAUUUAAUUAGAAUUUU